rnacentral:rRNA from 1 species
UGGGGUGUAGCUGGCCUUCCGAGGCAUGGUGCACGCCCUGCCUCAUCCACUCUACACCUGUGCACUUACUGUGGGUUUUACGGGUCGUGACAUGGGCUCGUUUAUUCGGGCUUGUUGAGCGCACUUGUUUGCCUGCGUUUAUCACAAACUCUAUAAAGUAUUAGAAUGUGUAUUGCGAUGUAACGCAUCUAUAUACAACUUUCAGCAACGGAUCUCUUGGCUCUCGCAUCGAUGAAGAACGCAGCGAAAUGCGAUAAGUAAUGUGAAUUGCAGAAUUCAGUGAAUCAUCGAAUCUUUGAACGCACCUUGCGCUCCUUGGUAUUCCGAGGAGCAUGCCUGUUUGAGUGUCAUGAAAUCUUCAAUCUAUAAGCUUCUUAAUUGGAGUUUGUAGUCUUGGACUUGGAGGCUUGUCGGUCCUUUACAGGUCGGCUCCUCUUAAAUGCAUUAGCUUGGUUCCUUGCGGAUCGGCUUGUCGGUGUGAUAAUGUCUACGCCGCGACCGUGAAGCGUGUUUGGGCGAGCUUCUAACUGUCUCGUUAUAGAGACAACUUUAUGACCUCUGACCUCAAUCACGUAGGACUACCCAAAGAACAAAAGCAUAUCAAUAAGCGGAGGAA